GACGAACGCUGGCGGCGUGCUUAACACAUGCAAGUCGAACGAUGAAGCCUUUCGGGGUGGAUUAGUGGCGAACGGGUGAGUAACACGUGGGCAAUCUGCCCUGCACUCUGGGACAAGCCC
rnacentral:rRNA from 1 species